rnacentral:rRNA from 1 species
GACGAACGCUGGCGGCGUGCUUAACACAUGCAAGUCGAACGGAAAGGCCCUGCUUUUGUGGGGUGCUCGAGUGGCGAACGGGUGAGUAACACGUGAGUAACCUGCCCUUGACUUUGGGAUAACUUCAGGAAACUGGGGCUAAUACCGGAUAGGAGCUCCUGCUGCAUGGUGGGGGUUGGAAAGUUUCGGCGGUUGGGGAUGGACUCGCGGCUUAUCAGCUUGUUGGUGGGGUAGUGGCUUACCAAGGCUUUGACGGGUAGCCGGCCUGAGAGGGUGACCGGGCACAUUGCUACUGAGAUACGGCCCAGACUCCUACGGGAGGCAGCAAUGGGGAAUAUUGCACAAUGGGCGGAAGCCUGAGGCAGCAACGCCGCGUGCGGGAUGACGGCCUUCGGGUUGUAAACCGCUUUCGCCUGUGACGAAGCGUGAGUGACGGUAAUGGAUAAAGAAGCACCGGCUAACUACGUG